rnacentral:rRNA from 1 species
UACGAAGGGGGCUAGCGUUGCUCGGAAUCACUGGGCGUAAAGGGUGCGUAGGCGGGUUUUUAAGUCAGAGGUGAAAUCCUGGAGCUCAACUCCAGAACUGCCUUUGAUACUGAAAGUCUUGAGUAUGGGAGAGGUGAGUGGAACUGCGAGUGUAGAGGUGAAAUUCGUGGAUAUUCGCAAGAACACCAGUGGCGAAGGCGGCUCACUGGCCCAUUACUGACGCUGAGGCACGAAAGCGUGGGGAGCAAACAGG